UGGUAAUGCCGGAUGUUCCACAUGAUCGCAUGUGAUUGUGGGAAAGAUUCUAUCGGCGUGGGAUGGGGUCGCGUCCUAUCAGCUUGUUGGUGAGGUAACGGCUCACCAAGGCUUCGACGGGUAGCCGGCCUGAGAGGGCGACCGGCCACAUUGGGACUGAGAUACGGCCCAGACUCCUACGGGAGGCAGCAGUGGGGAAUAUUGCACAAUGGGCGCAAGCCUGAUGCAGCGACGCCGCGUGAGGGAUGGAGGCCUUCGGGUUGUAAACCUCUUUUGUUUGGGAGCAAGCCUUCGGGUGAGUGUACCUUUCGAAUAAGCGCCGGCUAACUACGUGCCAGCAGCCGCGGUAAUACGUAGGGCGCAAGCGUUAUCCGGAUUUAUUGGGCGUAAAGGGCUCGUAGGCGGCUCGUCGCGUCCGGUGUGAAAGUCCAUCGCUUAACGGUGGAUCUGCGCCGGGUACGGGCGGGCUGGAGUGCGGUAGGGGAGACUGGAAUUCCCGGUGUAACGGUGGAAUGUGUAGAUAUCGA
rnacentral:rRNA from 1 species